rnacentral:rRNA from 1 species
AACGAACGCCGGCGGCAUGCCUAACACAUGCAAGUCGAACGAGACCUUCGGGUCUAGUGGCGCACGGGUGCGUAACGCGUGGGAACCUGCCCUUAGGUUCGGAAUAACUCCCCGAAAGGGGUGCUAAUACCGGAUAAUGUCUUCGGACCAAAGAUUUAUCGCCUUUGGAUGGGCCCGCGUUGGAUUAGCUAGUUGGUAGGGUAAAAGCCUACCAAGGCGACGAUCCAUAGCUGGUCUGAGAGGAUGAUCAGCCACACUGGGACUGAGACACGGCCCAGACUCCUACGGGAGGCAGCAGUGGGGAAUAUUGGACAAUGGGCGAAAGCCUGAUCCAGCAAGGCCGCGUGAGUGAUGAAGGCCUUAGGGUUGUAAAGCUCUUUUACCCGGGAUGAUAAUGACAGUACCGGGAGAAUAAGCUCCGGCUAACUCCGUG